rnacentral:rRNA from 1 species
GAUGAACGCUAGCGGCAGGCCUAACACAUGCAAGUCGAGGGGCAGCGGGUUUUAGCAAUAAGAUGCCGGCGACCGGCGCACGGGUGCGUAACGCGUAUACAAUUUGCCUUAUACAGGGAGAUAGCCCGGAGAAAUUCGGAUUAAUAUCCUAUAAUAAUGUUGGAUCGCAUGGUUUGACAUUUAAAGCUACGGCGGUAUAAGAUGAGUAUGCGUCUGAUUAGCAGUUGGUGAGGUAAUGGCUCACCAAGGCUACGAUCAGUAGGGGGCCUGAGAGGGUUAUCCCCA